rnacentral:rRNA from 1 species
GACGAACGCUGGCGGCGUGCUUAACACAUGCAAGUCGAACGGAGUGGCGAACGGGUGAGUAACACGUGGGUGAUCUGCCUUGCACUUCGGGAUACGCUUGGGAAACUGGGUCUAAUACCGGAUAGUGCAAGAUGAGCUCGCGGCCGAGCAGCUUGUUGGUGGGGUAAUGGCCUACCAAGGCGUCGACGGGUAGCCGGCCUGAGAGGGUGGACGGCCACCAUGGGACUGAGGUACGGCCCAGACUGCUACGGGAGGCAGCAGGGGGGAAUAGUGCACAAUGGGCGGACGCCUGAGGCAGCGACGCCGGGUGGGUGACGAAGGUUUGCGGGUUGUAAACUCCUUUCGACAGGGACGCGGUACCUGUAUAAGAAGCACCGGCUAACUACGUGCCAGCAGCCGCGGUAAUAC